AGUAAUGGAGAGGUAAGUGGAAUUCUCGGUGUAGCAGUGAAAUGCGUAGAUAUCGAGAGGAACAUCAAUGGCGAAGGCAACUUACUGGACAUUUACUGACGCUCAGACACGAAGGCUAGGGGAGCGAAAGGGAUUAGAUACCCCUGUAGUCCUAGCAGUAAACGGUGCUCGCUUGGUGUGGGAGGAUUCGACCCCUUCUGUGCCGGAGCUAACGCGUUAAGCGAGCCGCCUGGGAAGUACGGUCGCAAGACUAAAACUCAAAGAAAUUGACGGGGACCCGCACAAGCGGUGGAGUAUGUGGCUUAAUUCGAUGCAACGCGAAGAACCUUACCUAGGCUUGACAUGCUCAUCAUACCCUCCCGAAAAGGAGGGGUCGGUUCGGCCGGAUGAUGCACAGGUGCUGCAUGGCCGUCGUCAGCUCGUGUCGUGAGAUGUUUGGUUAAGUCCAGCAACGAGCGCAACCCCUGUGAACUGUUGCCAGCGGAUAAUGCCGGGGACUCUGUUCAGACUGCCCAGAUCAACUGGGAGGAAGGUGGGGACGACGUCAGGUCAGUAUGGCCCUUACGCCUAGGGCUGCACACGUACUACAAUGCCCAGCACAAUGAGAACCGAGACCGCGAGGUGGAGGAAAUCUAUAAAACUGGGCCCAGUUCGGAUUGGAGACUGCAACUCGUCUCCAUGAAGUCGGAAUCGCUAGUAAUGCCGUAUCAGCUACGACGGCGUGAAUACGUUCCCGGGUCUUGUACACACCGCCCGUCACAUCAUGGAAGCCGGUCGCACCCGAAGUAUCUGCGCUAACUUUCGAGAAGCAGGAUCCUAAGGUGAGGCUGGUAACUGGGAUGAAGUCGUAACAAGGUAACCGUA
rnacentral:rRNA from 1 species